ACCAAAAACAUGGCGAAUACCGGAGUUAGUAGGAUUACGAGCUUGCUCUUAGGAGGUUAGCGCCUUUCGGGUGAGAAACACGUGCGUACCCUGCCCAGAAGACUGGGAUAACUCCGGGAAACCGGGGCUAAUACCGAAUAUUAUUUUCAACCGCAUGGUUCGAAAUUGAGAGGCGGCUUCGGCUGUCACUUAGGGAUGGACCCGCGUCGCAUUAGCUAGUUGGUGAGGUAACGGCUCACCAAGGCAACGAUGCGUAGCCCACCUGAUAGGGUGAUCGGCCACACUGGUACUGAGACACGGCCCAAACUCCUAGGGGAGGCAGCAGUAGGGAAUCUUCCGGAAUGGACGAAAGUCUGACCGAGCUGCGCCGCGUGAGUGAUGAAGGCUUUCGGGUCUUAAAACUCUUUUGUUAGGGAAGAACAUGUGCUAUUUGAAUAAGCUGGUCUUUGACUGUACCUAACCAAAAAGCCACGGCUAA
rnacentral:rRNA from 1 species